UUGAUCCUGGCUCAGGAUGAACGCUGGCGGCGUGCUUAACACAUGCAAGUCGAACGGUGAAGCAGGAGCUUGCUCUUGUGGAUCAGUGGCGAACGGGUGAGUAACACGUGAGCAACCUGCCCCUGACUCUGGGAUAAGCGCUGGAAACGGCGUCUAAUACUGGAUAUGUGACGUGACCGCAUGGUCUGCGUUUGGAAAGAUUUUUCGGUUGGGGAUGGGCUCGCGGCCUAUCAGCUUGUUGGUGAGGUAAUGGCUCACCAAGGCGUCGACGGGUAGCCGGCCUGAGAGGGUGACCGGCCACACUGGGACUGAGACACGGCCCAGACUCCUACGGGAGGCAGCAGUGGGGAAUAUUGCACAAUGGGCGAAAGCCUGAUGCAGCAACGCCGCG
rnacentral:rRNA from 1 species